rnacentral:rRNA from 1 species
CCCGUAGAUGUCCUGGGCUGCACGCGCGCUACACUGAUGUGUCCAGUAAGCACCUAACCUCUUCCGAAAGGAACGGGUAACCUUUGCAAAGCACAUCGUGAUGGGGAUAGAUUAUUGCAAUUAUUAGUCUUGAACGAGGAAUUCCUAGUAAGCACAAGUCAUCAGCUUGUGUUGAUUACGUCCCUGCCCUUUGUACACACCGCCCGUCGCUCCUACCGAUUGAAUGUUCCGGUGAGCUCUUCGGACUGCGCGGUCUGCAGUUUCUGCGUUCCGUGCGGAAAGUUGCGCAAACCUUAACAUUUAGAGGAAGGAGAAGUCGUAACA